rnacentral:rRNA from 1 species
GACGAACGCUGGCGGCGUGCUUAACACAUGCAAGUCGAACGGGUCUGCCCUGUUUUUUGCGGGGUGGGUCAGUGGCGAACGGGUGAGUAACACGUGAGUAACCUGCCCCUCACUUCUGGAUAACCGCUUGAAAGGGUGGCUAAUACGGGGUGUUCUGGCUGUGCCGCAUGGUGUGGCUGGGAAAGAUUCACUUUUGUGGUGUUUUGGUGGGGGAUGGGCUCGCGGCCUAUCAGCUUGUUGGUGGGGUGAUGGCCUGCCAAGGCUUUGACGGGUAGCCGGCCUGGGAGGGUGGGCGGUCACACUGGGACUGAGAUACGGCCCAGACUCCUGCGGGGGGCAGCAGUGGGGGGUAUUGCACAAUGGGCGGAAGCCUGAUGCAGCGACGUCGCGUGAGGGAUGGAGGCCUUCGGGUUGUGAACCUCUUUCGCCGGUGAAGAAGGUCCUGCUCUUUGUGGUGGGGUUGACGGUAGCCGGGUUAUGAAGCGCCGGCUAACUACGUG